rnacentral:rRNA from 1 species
AGUGAACGCUGGCGGUAGGCCUAACACAUGCAAGUCGAACGGCAGCACAGGAGAGCUUGCUCUCUGGGUGGCGAGUGGCGGACGGGUGAGGAAUACAUCGGAAUCUACUUUUUCGUGGGGGAUAACGUAGGGAAACUUACGCUAAUACCGCAUACGACCUACGGGUGAAAGCAGGGGAUCUUCGGACCUUGCGUGAUUGAAUGAGCCGAUGUCGGAUUAGCUAGUUGGCGGGGUAAAGGCCCACCAAGGCGACGAUCCGUAGCUGGUCUGAGAGGAUGAUCAGCCACACUGGAACUGAGACACGGUCCAGACUCCUACGGGAGGCAGCAGUGGGGAAUAUUGGACAAUGGGCGCAAGCCUGAUCCAGCCAUACCGCGUGAGUGAAGAAGGCCUUCGGGUUGUAAAGCCCUUUUGUUGGGAAAGAAAUCCAGCUGGUUAAUACCCGGUUGGGAUGACGGUACCCAAAGAAUAAGCACCGGCUAACUUCGUGCCAGCCGCCGCAGUAA